rnacentral:rRNA from 1 species
CACGCCGUAAACUAUGGAUACUAGGUGUGGGAGGUAUCGAACCCUUCCGUGCCGCAGUAAACGCAAUAAGUAUCCCGCCUGGGGAGUACGGCCGCAAGGUUGAAACUCAAAGGAAUUGACGGGGGCCCGCACAAGCAGCGGAGCAUGUGGUUUAAUUCGAAGCAACGCGAAGAACCUUACCAGAACUUGACAUCUCCUGCAUAAUCCGUAAUGGGAUGAAGUCCUUCGGGACAGGAAGACAGGUGG